rnacentral:rRNA from 1 species
CAGUCGCCGCGGUAAUACGGAGGGUGCAAGCGUUAAUCGGAAUUACUGGGCGUAAAGCGCACGCAGGCGGUCUGUCAAGUCAGAUGUGAAAUCCCCGGGCUUAACCUGGGAACUGCAUUUGAAACUGGCAGGCUAGAGUCUUGUAGAGGGGGGUAGAAUUCCAGGUGUAGCGGUGAAAUGCGUAGAGAUCUGGAGGAAUACCGGUGGCGAAGGCGGCCCCCUGGACAAAGACUGACGCUCAGGUGCGAAAGCGUGGGGAGCAAACAGGAUUAGAUACCCGUGUAGUCCCUGUCUCUUAUAC